rfam:Bacteroidetes bacterium GWA2_31_9 gwa2_scaffold_18479, whole genome shotgun sequence.
UUCCGGGUGACUGGAGCACUGAAGGAAGCAAGACUGCAAAAUCUGGUACUGACGAACAGAAACGGAAUAUGAGGCAUAUUUAUUCGGGUAAGCAAGCACAUCUUUGUAAAGCCCAACGAACACCAAAAGGAUAAAUAUGUAGAUUCCGCAGGAAUCAGAGGAAGGAAAAAGC